CCUUGGGACUAUCUGGUUGAAAUUGUGGUGAGGAGGUCCACAGGCACUGUUGAAAGUGGAUUAAGGCCAGUGGAGAAACACACGGAAAAGUGAAUGUGACUUGAAGAAGAAAGUCCUUUACAAAAUCUGUUGUACUGCCAGUGGUAAUGGAAGAAGUGUCAGGAUGCCGGGUGAAGUGAUUCCUCUAGCACAGUGCCUGACACAGUAUAUGGAAAAUCACUUCUGGUUGAGCAAAUGAACAAACGAAAGAAUGAACAGACCAACUGAUUUGCAGGUUGCUCUGAACCAAAGAAAAGAAACAAGUAUGAAGUCGUAUUGUUCAUUCAAACAUAUAUAAGGACAACAAGAAGGAGUGGACAAAAUUUGGAUUGUGUACUUUACUCUUAUUUGCAUCUUGAAUAUUAUAUAAAUUGUUUUUUCUAGUCU
rnacentral:lncRNA from 1 species